rnacentral:lncRNA from 1 species
GGGUGGAUAGGGAAGGACCAUCAGGUGGAGGUGGGGCUAGGCGUGUCUGAGCUCAGACUCUUUUUGGGUGGGUCCUGCUGAAGCUGUUGUUGGGGAUGGGGGUGACAUUCCCAGGUCACUGGAGUUAUGUACCAGGAGGAUUAAGGCUGCCUCUGCUGAGUCAUGCAGGUUGUCAGGGAAGUCGGAGAAAGCUGACAGUCACUGGCCUCACCCAGCUCCCACGCAAACUGAAGGGCUGGUCUCACUCUCACUAUGCCCCCGUAACAGAGUCAGUUUUUAGGCGGAGGGUGAGAAUGGCUUGAAAAUUUGCUGAAUGCUAUCCAUCUCCCAGCCCCCAGAGAAAAGGGCUUUAGUUCCUCCCCCUGCCUGUGAAGUCUGCAGGCCAGAUUCGCGCCCUCCCCUGAGUUCUGGCCAGGAGGCUUCUUGCCCUGUUCAAAUGGUUACAAAGUUCAGCUAGAGAAUUCCUUCUCCCUGUAGAGUUUUACCCCCUGCUCCUCUGGCCGCCCUCCGGAUGGAUCUUUGUGUUGCCAGGCAGGAAUGGGCUGCUUGGGGACCCAGUGAGCUCCGAGGGCCUUUCUGCUGCUUCCUGUACCCCUGUAUUUCGCUCAGCUCUCUGACUUGACUCAGCUCCAGGAGGAAUCUGCAUAGAUUAGACGAAAAAGUUAAAAGGAGUAUGAAUGAAAAAACUACGUGUACAAGAUGUCCAAGAUGAACAAAACUAUACAAUAAAGUUCAUUUCAAUAUACAACAUGUAUUAUAUUCAACAAGGCUCAAAUUUUUUGAUAAAAGGAAACAGAGACCUCUUUUUCUAGCAGGAAGAUAUUUUUCUUGGGAUGUUUUGUUUAUGCUGGCUUGAAUAACACUAUGAAAUAUUCUUUCAUUAAUAUUACAUGCUUAUGGAACUUUACCUAUUGAUUAAAGACAUCUACCCCUGGAGAAAGAGCCCAAUGAGAAGUAAUCUCUGAAGCCCAGAUUUCCUAAGGAUGAAGCUUCAGGAGAGGCCUUAUCAAUCCUGACAACAAACUUUUCUCGUCAAUUUAGUUUCAUUUAAUGGAAGUUUUAAAUGUGUAAAGUUCAGAAGGCUAUUAAAAUUGGUUCCAGCUAUCUAAGAUACACACACAACCACACACGCGCACACACGAAUACAAAUAUGCCUUCCCAAUCAUCUCCCAAAGUCUCAACUCAUUCCAGCGUUAACUCAAAGACCAAAAUUCAAAGUCUCAUCUGAAACAAGGUGUUGCCAAAGGAGAUUAUUAUUUGAGUCAGAGGACUGGGAGAAGCAGACCUACCCUCGAUCUGGGUGGGUGUCAUCUAGUCAGCUGCCAGUGUGGCUAGAAUGAAGCAGGCAGAAGUUGGAAAGAGCAGACCUGCUGAGUCUUCUGGCCCUCACCGUUCUCCCGUGCUGGAUUCUUCUGGCCCUCAAACAUCAGACUCCACGUUCUUCAGCUUUUGGACUCAUGGACUUACACCAGUGGUGUGCCAGGGCCUCUUGAGCCUUUGGUCACAGACUGAAGGCUACACUGUCAGCUUCUCUAAU